AAGGAAUCCUCCCCAUGAAGAGGUUGUUCCAUGUGACACAUGUUCUCCUUCCAAGUCAUGGAGUGGGGAAGCAGACUAGAUCACUAUCUCCCCUGCUCUACAUGGGCCCUGUUUGUCAGGUGACAUCAGGUGGCUUUUUUGCCCUAUGUAUGCCUUGCAGAAAACUUAGUGGAGGCCGUUGUGAAAAGCAGGUCAGCUUGGCUUGGACAAAAGGGUCACAUCGUCCAAAUGUGGAGGUCCAGGAGUAUAAAGUUUGCCACCUAUCGUAGAGAAUGACCAAGAGCACAAUGCAAGUACUAAUGUAAAUGCACUCCUUCCUUGAUCAGAUUUCAUAUUAUUUAGUGGAGGAUAUGUCUGCUAACUCCCUGGAAAAGACCCUGAUGUUGGGAAAGAUUGAGGGCAGAAGGAGAAGGGGACAGCAGAGGAUGAGAUGGUUGGACAGUGUUCUCGAAGCUACCAGCAUGAGUUUGACCAAACUGUGGGAGGCAGUGGAAGAUAGGAGUGCCUGGCGUGCUCUGGUCCAUGGGGUCACGAAGAGUCGGACACGACUAAACAACUAAACAAAACAACAACAUGUCUGCUAAGCCUGCAAAUUCGUUCAACAAUUAUUUGUUCCAUAAAAACUGCUAGCAUUUAAAUACUGGUCCUAAACUCUCUCUGUUUGUAAAUUCUCUUUCAGUUCAUGUAUGGCACAUUUCACCCAGAAGAGAGUAAUCCAGGUCAGGUCCCCUCCUUUUACCGCAUGGUCCCCACUGAAGCCCCACAAUAUAUGGGGAUUGUCUGGCUACUUCAGCAUUUUGGAUGGACAUGGGUUGGACUCUUUGUUGUAGAUGGUGCCACUGGAGAAAAUUUCCUGCAGACCCUGGAACACUACUUUUCCCUGCAUAAUGUAUGUUCAGCUUUCACACAGAGACUCCCAGAACAAGCAAGUCUGAAGGACUUAGAUGCUUUUCCUUUCAUUAUCUCAAAUAUAUAUGUACAUUACAUUAAAACUACAGUUAGUGUUUUCAUUUUGUAUGGAGAAAAUUUAACAUUUACAUGGCUGAUGACUGUUUUCUUUUUUUUGGGAGACCCUCACAAGGGAAAAACCACGUUGUUGGGAAAGGUGUGGAUUAUGACAACCCAGAUUGAUUUUAUGUUAUCAGGCCUUCAAAGAACCAUGGAUUUACAGCAGUUCGAUGGUGCCAUUUCUUUCACCAUUCAUUCAAAAGACCCCCCAGGCUUCAAAGAAUUUCUCCAAAACAUUAAACCGUACAAGAACAAAGGAGAUGGUUUUCUCAAAGAUUUUUGGGAGCAAGCAUUUGACUGUUCCCUUCCCAAUCCUGGCAUACCAACAGAAAAAAGUUGUACGGGAGAGGAAAGUCUUGAGAGUCUUCCUGAUGCUCUCUUUGAAAUGCACAUGACGGGCCACAGCUACAGCAUCUACAAUGCUGUGUAUAGUGUAGCACAUGCACUGCAUGUUAUUGACACAUCCAGAACCAAUCACAAAGGAAUAUUGGCUAGCAAAAAAUCUGAACUUCAGCAUCUCAAGCCUUGGCAGGUAGUGUCUCAAAGUUCGUUUGUUUUCAUUAUUAUCAUUUCACUGAAUGUACUAUUGCAAAAUGCCAAUGCAUAUUAAAUCAGGAACUUAUUGCAAAGGCAUACACAAACAACUUGAAUGGGCAGAGGGUGUUCCUCAAGGACCUGGGUCCAAAGAUCUUUAUCGCUUUCCAUCUUAUUUAUAAAAACUCAAGUUCAAGAUGGAAACAAAUUGGCAGCUUGUGCAGGUCUCUAAGAGUGAAUGUAUGAGGGUCCCAUCCUACUUAUAAAGGUGGAAAUACCUUAUCAAGAUUCAGAUUCCAUUUAUUCACCCUUGUCAAGUAGAUCACAGAGGCCUGUUGCAUGUUCCAAAUUCUCCUGGUCUCAACUGAGAAAUUGAGCUAGGUGUCAUCUACAGCUCAUGUGCAAAAUACCUGUCAUAAAAUAUUUGUUUGAAGUCUCCAAAAUAUUAUUAUCUCUUUGGAAUUUAUUGUUUUUCUUCUUUCUGUUAGCUCUACCCAUUUCUUCAAGGCAUUUCUUUUAACAACUCAGUUGGAGAAGCAAUGUUCUUCAAUGAUGAAAGGGAAGUAGAAGGAGGAUUUGACAUUGUGAACAUAGUCACAUAUAAAAACAGGUCAUUCCAGAGAGUGAAAGCUGGAAGUGUGCAUCCCAAAGACCUCGGAGGAAAAGAAUUCAUCAUUAAUGAAGAUAUAAUAAUGUGGCACAGAACAUUUAACCAGGUGGGAAGUUAGGGUACACUUUGAAGAAAUAUAUAGUAGGGUUCAGUGGGAUCUAGAUGCAAAUCUUUUAUGCCCCGCCAGUCACUUUUCUCAACUGGAAGACAACCUCAGACUACUUACGUUUUGAUGUUUGUUUGUUUGUGUUUUUUUAAAAAGUUCAGUUCUAAACACAUUUCCUGUUUAUUGAUAGAUGCUUCCUGUUUCUGUGUGUAAUGACUACUGCCCCCCUGGUUAUCAGAAGAAAAGGAAGGAAGGGGAUAAAUUUUGCUGCUAUGACUGUGAGCAAUGCCCUGAUGGGAAGAUUUCAAACCAGAUUGGUAGGUGACUUUUUCCAUUGUACGGGGUUGAAUAAUUCAGAAUAAUUCUGGAACACUAUUUUCAAUAGUUAAAUUAUCUUUGUUACAAUAUAGUGCCCUGGCUAGCCAGUCAGUCCUGGAAUCAGACUGGUCCCAGAAAUCUUUCAGAAAUUAAGAGUGCAAGAAGCAUUCAAACCUAGACAAAGUUUCUUGACACAAGGAAAACCCACUUAACUUAGUGGGAUGUCUGAGUAAAGAUACAAUUUUGAUUGCUGUGAAUAUCCAUGACUUAUUAAUGAAUUCGAAUCAAAAUAAGAUCUGUUUCUAUAUUUCAGACAUGAGCUACUGUUUGAACUGCCCAAAACAUCAAUAUUCCAACAUGAAGAGAGACGGAUGCAACCCAAAAAUAAAAAGCUUUCUGUCUUAUGAAGAACCUUUAGGGAUCAGUUUAGCCUCCCUUGCUAUUUCUUUUUCCUUGAUUACAGUGUGGGUGUUCGGAAUCUUUAUUAAGCACAGAGAUACCCCCAUUGUCAAAGCCAACAACAGGGACCUCACCUACACUCUCCUGGUCUCCCUUUUGCUCUGUUUCCUCUCAUCUUUGAUGUUCCUGGGCAAAUCUGGGAAAGUGACCUGUCUUCUUCGUCAGCCAUCUUUUGGCAUCGUCUUCUCAGUGGCUGUUUCUUGCGUGCUGGCAAAGACUACCAUUGUUUCUUUAGCAUUCAUGGCCACAAAGCCCGGAUCCAGAAUGAAGAAAUGGGUGGGGGGGAACCUGUCCAACUCUAUUGUCCUUUCCUGCUCUCUUAUUCAAGCC